rnacentral:rRNA from 1 species
UGUUUAUCAAAAACAUCGCUCUUUGGAAUUAAUACAUAAAGAGUCGAGCCUGCCCAGUGAUAUAUAUUUAACGGCCGCGGUACUCUGACCGUGCAAAGGUAGCAUAAUCAUUUGCCUUAUAAUUGAAGGCUAGUAUGAAUGGUUUGACGAAAACAAUACUGUCUCUCUCUAAUUUUAUAGAACUUGAUUUUUAGGUGAAGAAGCCUAAAUAAAAUUGAAAGACAAGAAGACCCUAUCGAGCUUAAAAAAAUUUUGUUAAAAUAAAAUGACUAUAAAAGAACAUCUGUACCAAAAAAUUUUAGUUGGGGCGACUAAGGAACAUACAAAGCUUCCAUCACAGUAAUAAAGGCUUUUUAGCUAUGAUCCAAAAUCUUUGAUUAAAAGAAUUAGUUACCGUAGGGAUAACAGCAUAAUCUUUUUUGAGAGUUCUUAUCGAAAAAAAGGUUUGUGACCUCGAUGUUGGACUAGAAUAUCCUAAAUGAUGCAGAAGUCUUUAAGGGUUGGUCUGUUCGACCACUAAUAUUCUACGUGAUCUGAGUUCAGACCGGA